rnacentral:rRNA from 1 species
AACGAACGCUGGCGGCAGGCUUAACACAUGCAAGUCGAGCGCCCCGCAAGGCGAGCGGCCGACGGGUGCGUAACGCGUGGGAACGUACCUUUUGGUUCGGAACAACUCCGGGAAACUGGAGCUAAUACCGGAUAAGCCCUAACGGGGAAAGAUUUAUCGCCGAAAGAUCGGCCCGCGUCUGAUUAGCUAGUUGGUGAGGUAACGGCUCACCAAGGCGACGAUCAGUAGCUGGUCUGAGAGGAUGAUCAGCCACACUGGGACUGAGACACGGCCCAGACUCCUACGGGAGGCAGCAGUGGGGAAUAUUGGACAAUGGGCGCAAGCCUGAUCCAGCCAUGCCGCGUGAGUGAUGAAGGCCUUAGGGUUGUAAAGCUCUUUUGUCCGGGAAGAUAAUGACUGUACCGGAAGAAUAAGCCCCGGCUAACUUCGUG